UUUCUGGUUUUUUACUUUUAUCAGAAAAUCUUUUGUUAGUUUGCAUGUUUAUGUAUCUUACUCUGUGAAGAUUAGAGCUUUGUGCUUUGAGUUAUUCUGCUAGAAAAAAACCCCCCUUUUGCUGUUUAAGUUCUGUGUUUUUGCUUGUCAUGACUGAUUGAAAGAUUAGCUCUUUUAAUAUAUCUUGUUUAUAGAUUGUUCAGAAAUGCAAGUUUCUGGUAUGAUUUUUGGUGUUUGAGUUAUGAAAAGUCCAGUUUUUUUCUUGAUUAGAAGGCUGUCUUUCUUGUUUAGAAUGGAAAAAAUUUAUCUGGCUGGUUUUCAAGUCUUUUUUCUUGCAAGAAGAAAAUGCAGACAAAUGGAAAUUUGUGGUCUUGAUAUUAGUUCAAGUUUAAGGUUUGGUUCUUUCAUUCUUGGAUUUGGUGCCUGCUUUUUUUGUAGAGGUCACUUUCCACACGGCUUUUUAUUCCUCAUUCCUUCUGUUUAAAGUUCCUUUUUUUGGGAUUAUGGAAAUUUGGUGCAUAUAUAUGAAAAGUAGAUUCAUGAUAUUGAAUAGUCAUUUUUAUUGAGAAAGUAUAGGUUUAUCCCUUAUUAAGGUCCCCCCAAC